CCUGUAUCAGCGCACUUACCCAGUCAUGGACAGUCAUUCAUCUGAUCACAGACGCAGACACACCACACAUCACAACUCUUGAAUAAUGAACAACUGACCUAAAUAUGCAAAAUACUAUGAAGAUCAAAAGGAACACCUACAAAA